GAGUAGAGAGACUUAAGAUCAACUUAAGUUGGACAGAGGCUAUAGAAAUUGCAGCAGCUGCCUUUUCACUGGUAAAACAACCAAUGUUCACAUCAUUUGUAUUCAAUAGUUUCAGUUUUGCUGAUCAAUAAUUUUGAGUUCUUUCAGGUGUGCAGCGUUGGCAUGUUGGAGUGCUUGUAUGUCCAUGGACAAGAAAUGAAAAUUUUCAGACACCUGUCUAUUGGUGAUUAACAGCUGCAGAGGGCCUUCAGACAUAGCUCUUUUUCACCACUGAGAAGACAAGGAGAUGGAAUGCCUUAUUACAAUUCUGAGUUUGAAAGUAAGCCUUUCCCCCAAGAGACUAAGAAUGACUUCCUCCCUAAUCCUGGUACACCUAGCUGCCAUUAUGAUUUGCAGGAGUCGAAGAAGUCUGUGGAACAAUUUUCAGAGGUAAAGCUUGAUAAGCUUGAAAACUGCCCUUUUUAUCAGUCUCAAUCUCUUCAAUUUUUUUAAAGAACAUAAAUUUGUUGUUUCAACCACAAAAAAGUAUGCUUUUCUGAAAAUCAUUGAAGUAGAUGUGUUUGAUUCUUUGUAAUACUGAUUUUUCAUUCGUUAUAUAUAGAUAGAUAUAUCAGUUAAAAGAUUUUUGACAAAAA